rnacentral:rRNA from 1 species
GACGAACGCUGGCGGCGUGCCUAAUACAUGCAAGUCGAGCGAAGCGGGGACGGGCGAGUAACACGUGGAUAACCUCCUAUAAGACAGGGAUAACUUCGGGAAACCGGAGCUAAACCGGAUACUUAUAGAUGGCACCGCGAUGCAUUAGCUAGUUGGUAAGACAAUGGCUUACCAAGGCAACGAUGCAUAGCCGACCUGAGAGGGUGAUCGGCCCCACUGGAACGGAACCACGUUCCAGUCUCCGACGGUAGGCAGCAGUAGGGAAUGUUCCGGAAUGGGCUGAGGCCUCGCGGAGAAACUCCUCGUGAUUGAUCAUGUUCUUCCUAUCGUAGAACUCUGUUAUUAGGGAAGCUGUACCUAAUCAGAAAGCCACGGCUAACUACGUGCCAGCAGCCGCGGUAAUUC